UACGUAGGGUCCGAGCGUUUGUCCGGAAUUACUGGGCGUAAAGAGCUCGUAGGUGGUUUGUCGCGUUGUUCGUGAAAACUCACAGCUCAACUGUGGGCGUGCGGGCGAUACGGGCAGACUGGAGUACUGCAGGGGAGACUGGAAUUCCUGGUGUAGCGGUGGAAUGCGCAGAUAUCAGGAGGAACACCGGUGGCGAAGGCGGGUCUCUGGGCAGUAACUGACGCUGAGGAGCGAAAGCGUGGGGGAGCGAACAGG
rnacentral:rRNA from 1 species